rnacentral:rRNA from 1 species
GAGUUUGAUCCUGGCUCAGGAUGAACGCUGGCGGCGUGCCUAAUACAUGCAAGUCGAGCGAACAGAUAAGGAGCUUGCUCCUUUGAAGUUAGCGGCGGACGGGUGAGUAACACGUGGGUAACCUACCUAUAAGACUGGGAUAACUUCGGGAAACCGGAGCUAAUACCGGAUAAUAUUUAGAACCGCAUGGUUCUAAAGUGAAAGAUGGUUUUGCUAUCACUUAUAGAUGGACCCGCGCCGUAUUAGCUAGUUGGUAAGGUAACGGCUUACCAAGGCGACGAUACGUAGCCGACCUGAGAGGGUGAUCGGCCACACUGGAACUGAGACACGGUCCAGACUCCUACGGGAGGCAGCAGUAGGGAAUCUUCCGCAAUGGGCGAAAGCCUGACGGAGCAACGCCGCGUGAGUGAUGAAGGGUUUCGGCUCGUAAAACUCUGUUAUUAGGGAAGAACAAAUGUGUAAGUAA